rnacentral:lncRNA from 1 species
UAGAGAAUUAAUCCAUCAUGUUGAAUUUGCGGUGGCCGGAGCUGAAUCUAUCGCCGUGGAGGUUGCCGGUGUUGGACAUGUCGUAUUGGAACACAAGUUGGAACCUUCAAUGGUUGAGUUUGUCUUUGUUGGAUGAUUUGUUAUGGGCUUGUCUCACUUUUCUGGAGUCCUUUGUCUUGCUCUCAAUGCUUUGCUACUUUUUCCUAUGUUGCGGUUGUACUCUCUAACUUUCAUUCUGGUAUCUUAAAUCAUGUUUCGGAAAACAUGUCAUACAAUUAAAAAUUACAUAUUUUUUUAUUUUUUAUUUUUUUGUUUUAAUAUUAUUGGUCUGAAACGUAGUUUAGAAUAACAUUUCAUUCUCUAUAAUUUAAUUGAGAAAUAUACAUCUAGUGUACCUACAGUUUUAAUAUUUUUUUUGCACAGGAUAAUGAUAAGGAACACUAAGUAUAGAAGAUUUCUAGUUAGUUAUACUUGUAAAGUAGAAAAUUGUUAGCUUUUAUUUUUGUUUUGUUUGGUUUGCUACUUUUGGGUUGAAUGGUUUUA